AAAUACAGGUCAUCUUGUGGCUUUAAAUUCAAUGGAGAAGAUCUCGAAAGCUAAACAGAGUUGGGCCUGGUUAGUACUUGGAUGGGAGACCACCUAGGAAGACCAGGCGCUAUAGGUA
rnacentral:rRNA from 1 species